AGCUCUGUAAGCGUAUACCAAAGUUGUUGCAGUUAAAACGCUCGUAGUCGGAUUUUGGCGAUUCCGGGUGAGUACGCGUCGUGCGAACGCACUGCGGGGAUUGCUUUUGUGGGAUGAGCAGGAUGAGGGCUACUUAAUUGUGGUAACGUCCUUGCGCAACCACUCUUUACUGUGAGAAAAUCAGAGUGCUCAAAGCAGGCAUUUGCCGUGAAUGUAUUAGCAUGGAAUAAUAGAAUAGGACUUUGUCCUAUUUUGUUGGUUUGUUGGGGCGAAGUAAUGAUUAAGAGGGACAGUUGGGGGCAUUUGUAUUUCGGCGUCAGAGGUGAAAUUCUUAGAUUGCCGAAAGACAAACUGCUGCGAAAGCGUCUGCCAAGGAUGUUUUCA
rnacentral:rRNA from 1 species